GACGAACGCUGGCGGCGUGCUUAACACAUGCAAGUCGAACGGUAAGGCCCUUCGGGGUACACGAGUGGCGAACGGGUGAGUAACACGUGGGUGAUCUGCCCUGCACUUCGGGAUAAGCCUGGGAAACUGGGUCUAAUACCGGAUAGGACUCCUGGCUUCAUGGUAGGGGGUGGAAAGCUUUUGCGGGGUGGGAUGGGCCCGCGGCCUAUCAGCUUGUUGGUGGGGUAAUGGCCUACCAAGGCGACGACGGGUAGCCGGCCUGAGAGGGUGACCGGUCACACUGGGACUGAGAUACGGCCCAGACUCCUACGGGAGGCAACAGUGGGGAAUAUUGCACAAUGGGCGCAAGCCUGAUGCAGCGACGCCGCGUGAGGGAUGACGGCCUUCGGGUUGUAAACCUCUUUCAGCUAUGACGAAGCGCAAGUGACGGUAGUAGCAGAAGAAGGGCCGGCCAACUACGUGCCAGCAGCCGCGGUAA
rnacentral:rRNA from 1 species